GGUUAUUUAUCGCGAUUACACUAUAGUCUUUUUGGAUGGUGGUGUUCAGGGUUCGAACCUCGGAUCAACUGAGUUAAGUUCACCGGAACGAUUACAAUGUAGUCUAAAUGAAUCGGAAUUGAACUGAUUUUAUUAAUUUAUUUUCUAAUGGAUUAAACUAUGCUCAAAAGGUUUCACUAAUUUGACCUUCGUAUGGGUUUAAAAUUUUGUACCACAAAUGUCUUAUCGAAACCACAUAAUAUAUAACUACAAAAACAAUAGUGACAUAAUACAAAAAGAUACAUAACCCCUUCUUGCUACUACAAUCAUCAUUGAGCAAUAUUAUCUAAAAAAAAUAUAACGUGAUACAUAACCUAAUUAAACAAUACUAUCUAAAAAAAAGUUGAGCAAUAAAAACACUUCUUCUCUCUUCCCAUAUUCUACCUUCUUCCGAAACAUAAACACACGUGUGUUAUGCAUGAAUAUGCAAAUAGUAGGCAAUGAAGGAGAAGAGAGUGGCACCAAGGAUUGAACCAAAAGAAACAGCAUCACUACUGUUUGGUCCUGGGGCAGGACUUUCAACAUGGUUUUGAUGAUAUUGAUGAUCAAGUGGAAUAUCUCUGGUGCUGGCUGCUAUGAGGACAACAACAAAAGCAACAAUCUUCUUCAUCUCCAUUGUGUUUUGUUUUUAGUACUAGUAUGUUAAUGUUAAUUACACAACAAUAUGAAAUGAGAUGGAAUUAUGGGAGGGUUAAUUUAUGGUGGGAAGGACGCGUGUUGAUUAUUACUCCCUCCAUUGUUGAGUUUAAUGAUAUAAUUAUUUUAUUAAUUGUAGUUAAUGCAGAAUUAAAUGAAAAUAAAAUUUAAUAAAUAAGAGUAUA
rnacentral:lncRNA from 1 species